rnacentral:rRNA from 1 species
GAAGGGAGCUUGCUCCCGGAUGUUAGCGGCGGACGGGUGAGUAACACGUGGGUAACCUGCCUGUAAGACUGGGAUAACUCCGGGAAACCGGAGCUAAUACCGGAUAGUUCCUUGAACCGCAUGGUUCAAGGAUGAAAGACGGUUUCGGCUGUCACUUACAGAUGGACCCGCGGCGCAUUAGCUAGUUGGUGGGGUAAUGGCUCACCAAGGCGACGAUGCGUAGCCGACCUGAGAGGGUGAUCGGCCACACUGGGACUGAGACACGGCCCAGACUCCUACGGGAGGCAGCAGUAGGGAAUCUUCCGCAAUGGACGAAAGUCUGACGGAGCAACGCCGCGUGAGUGAUGAAGGUUUUCGGAUCGUAAAGCUCUGUUGUUAGGGAAGAACAAGUGCGAGAGUAACUGCUCGCACCUUGACGGUACCUAACCAGAAAGCCACGGCUAACUACGUGCCAGCAGCCGCGGUAAUACGUAGGUGGCAAGCGUUGUCCGGAAUUAUUGGGCGUAAAGGGCUCGCAGGCGGUUUCUUAAGUCUGAUGUGAAAGCCCCCGGCUCAACCGGGGAGGGUCAUUGGAAACUGGGAAACUUGAGUGCAGAAGAGGAGAGUGGAAUUCCACGUGUAGCGGUGAAAUGCGUAGAGAUGUGGAGGAACACCAGUGGCGAAGGCGACUCUCUGGUCUGUAACUGACGCUGAGGAGCGAAAGCGUGGGGAGCGAACAGGAUUAGAUACCCUGGUAGUCCACGCCGUAAACGAUGAGUGCUAAGUGUUAGGGGGUUUCCGCCCCUUAGUGCUGCAGCUAACGCAUUAAGCAC